rnacentral:rRNA from 1 species
GUCUACAGCCAUACCACCUUGAACAAGCCCAAUCUUGUCUGAUAUAGGAAGCUAAGCAGAGUUGGGCCUGGUUAGUAUUUGGAUA